rnacentral:rRNA from 1 species
AACCUCCGCAAUGUACGAAAGUGCGACGGGGGGAUCCCAAGUGUUAUGCUUUUUUGUAUAACUUUUCAUUAGUGUAAAAAGCUUUUAGAAUAAGAGCUGGGCAAGACCGGUGCCAGCCGCCGCGGUAACACCGGCAGCUCGAGUGGUAGCUGUUUUUAUUGGGCCUAAAGCGUCCGUAGCCGGUUUGAUAAGUCUUUGGUGAAAGCUUGUAGCUUAACUAUAAGAAUUGCUGGAGAUACUAUCAGACUUGAAGUCGGGAGAGGUUAGAGGUACUACCGGGGUAGGGGUGAAAUCCUAUAAUCCUGGGAGGACCACCUGUGGCGAAGGCGUCUAACUGGAACGAUCUUGACGGUGAGUAACGAAAGCCAGGGCGCGAACCGGAUUAGAUACCCGGGUAGUCCUGGCCGUAAACGAUGUGGACUUGGUGUUGGAAUGGCUUUGAGUUGUUCCGGUGCCGAAGGGAAGCUGUUAAGUCCACCGCCUGGGAAGUACGGUCGCAAGACUGAAACUUAAAGGAAUU